AUUGAACGCUGGCGGCAGGCUUAACACAUGCAAGUCGAGCGAGCGGCGGACGGGUGAGUAAUGUCUGGGAAACUGCCUGAUGGAGGGGGAUAACUACUGGAAACGGUAGCUAAUACCGCAUACCAUCAGAUGUACCCAUAUGGGAUUAGAUAGUAGGUGGGGUAAUGGCUCACCUAGGCGACGAUCCCUAGCUGGUCUGAGAGGAUGACCAGCAACACUGGAACUGAGACAAGGCCCAGACUCCUACGGGAGGAAGCAGUGGGGAAGAUUGCACAAUGUGCGCAAGCCUGAUGCAGCCAUGCCGCGUGUGUCAAGAAGGCCUUCGGGUUGUAAAGCACUUUCAGCGAGGAGGCGUUACUCGCAGAAGAAGCACCGGCUAACUCCGUGCCAGCAGCCGCGGUAAUUC
rnacentral:rRNA from 1 species